rnacentral:lncRNA from 1 species
GUUGGAAAGGCAGAUCAUGAGGACCAGGACUCGUUUCGAUAACCCAGUCAAGUACAAGCGACUGUAUCAAGGGAGUGUUCAAGGAUCAAAUGCUGGUUAUUCUGUUAAAGGUCGUCGUUAUAAAAAUUAUGAUGAUGAUGACGAUGAUGAGGAUGAUGAUGAUGAUGCUGGCUACAUCGACGACUACUAUUGAGUGGGAAAUCAAGAAGUGGGCUUCCUGUAUCAUCAGUACUUUUGUGAUGGAGAUAAAACCUGGGUUUACAUUUAAAUCAGGUGGGAACAUUGUUUUGAACAAUUUCUUU